AACGAACGCUGGCGGCAGGCCUAACACAUGCAAGUCGAACGCUCUUUUCGGAGAGAGUGGCGCACGGGUGAGUAACGCGUGGGAAUCUGCCCUUUGGUUCGGAAUAACCCUGGGAAACUAGGGCUAACACCGGAUGAGCCCCGAGUUCCGCGAGGGAGUUGGGGGAAAGUUUACGCCGAAGGAGGAGCCCGCGUCCGAUUAGCUAGUUGGUGAGGUAAGAGCUCACCAAGGCUUCGAUCGGUAGCUGGUCNGAGAGGACGAUC
rnacentral:rRNA from 1 species